rnacentral:rRNA from 1 species
UACGUAGGGUGCGAGCGUUGUCCGGAAUUACUGGGCGUAAAGAGCUCGUAGGUGGUUUGUCGCGUUGUUCGUGAAAACUCACAGCUUAACUGUGGGCGUGCGGGCGAUACGGGCAGACUGGAGUACUGCAGGGGAGACUGGAAUUCCUGGUGUAGCGGUGGAAAUGCGCAGAUAUCAGGAGGAACACCGGUGGCGAAGGCAGGUCUCUGGGCAUUAACUGACGCUGAGGAGCGAAAAGCAUGGGGAGCGAACAGG